GCCGAAAUAGCUCAGUUGGGAGAGCGUUAGAUUGAAAAUCUAAAUAUCCCUGGUUCGAAUCCGGGUUCCGGCA
rnacentral:tRNA from 1 species